rnacentral:lncRNA from 1 species
UUAGUAAUGUUUGUUAUUAGACAAAAAAAAAAUAUAUAUUUGAUAAUUCUAUUGUUAAUGUGACUUUAUGUGUUGUUUGGUUAAUGAUAUUGUUUAUAAAUGAAUUUUUAGAUUGAAAUUUAGUUAUUCUUGUAUGAUCAUAUGAUUAUGUAAUAUGGUCUGUCUUUAUUUAUUCUUAUAUAGGUUGAAAUUAAUUUUUUCGCUUUAUAAUUUUUUUUUUCAUGUGCGAUUUUUUUUAUUUUUAUUGCUUGUUAAUAAAAUUAAUUCAAGUGUUUAGGUCUUUGAUGCCACCAAGCCUUUUGGCACUUGCUCUAGGGACGAUCGGUCUUUGAUGCCAAUUUUGAUCUUAACUUCUGAGUGACUUACAAAGUUUAAAAGGACAAAUAGGUAACUAUAAAACUAUACAAAAAAAAUCUGAUAUUAUUUAAAAAUUUAAGCUAUUAGAGAAUGAUAAUUUUUGUAUUUUAUUUUCAAUACUCCCCCUCAAAUCUGGCUCGAGAUUUUGAUAAGCCAAAGAUGCGGAUUUGGAUUGAAUGGGAGGAAAUUAAAUGAGAUUUUUGAUAAGCCGAAAAUGAAGAUUUGAAUUAAAUGGGAGAAAAAUUAAAUGAGACUACGAGCCUAAUGGGGUUUGAAUCACAGACAGUCAGUUUGGGCUUGAGAUUUCUGAUAAGUCGAUAACGUGGAUUCGAAUUAAAUGGAAGAAAAUUAAACGAGAAUUUUUAUAAGCCCAAGAUGCGGAUUCGAAUUAAACUGAAGAAAAUUAAAUAAGACCAGGAGCCCGGUGAGAUUUGAACUCAAUCAAUCUAGGGUCGAGAUUUUUGAUAAGUCCAUGAUAUAGAUUCAAAUAAAACAGGAAAACAUUAAAAAAGAUCUUUGAUAAGCUCAAGACGUGAAUUUGAAUUAACUGGGAGAAAAUUAAAUGAGAUUAGAAGCGGUUUAUAUUUUAUUUUAAUCCAACUAGGAAUCAACUACAAAUCUAACCAAAUUCUUACAAUAAUAUCACUCAUAAAAAAUACGCUCUUACUCCAAAAAAUACCUACAGAAGAUAAUUCAACAAUUUCAACAA